rnacentral:pre_miRNA from 1 species
GAACUACUCCCUCCGUCCAAAAAUACUUGUCAUCAAAAUGGAUAAAAAGAGAUGUAUCUAAAACUAAAAUACGUCUAGAUGCAUCCCCUUUUAUCCAUUUUGAUGACAAGUAUUUCCGGACGGAGGGAGUACGUA